AUGACGUCACGGACGUCCGAGUCUCUGACAGGCCACCUGUGGGUUGCUCCCGGCUUUAAAGCAGCUGUUGUGCCCUGGCCCCCGCAGCCACGUCCACUGUAUCCACACCUGGGCGGACCGCGUCCGAACUCCAGACCUACCUCACACUCUGGCGGCUGCGGACUGGACAGGCAGCCAGAGAGAGGCAAGUAUUCCCCGAACCGCUUCCUCCAUCCUCCUCUUCCUCCCUGCGCCCUCGCUCUGCAGCUUGAGCGCAGGGCAGGAGAGAGUUUUCUUCCAGAAAGAAGUGGACAGCAAGCAGUUGGUUUUCCUGUCCGGCCAGGCGACAAAUGCCAGGAUUCCAGGUUCAGCAGACCUGUUGCACCCAGAAAAGCGCCCCAACCCGGUCUGCACGCCAGGAGCCCCGCGACUCUGCUUGCCGACACCCCGAGCGCCCAGCGCGGAUGGGCAGAUGUGGGAAGCUCCCAGAAGCAACUGAGUAAUCAUCUCAGUGUCCUUGGCUCUGGUUCCUACCCAUUUUAAGGGCAGCAAAUAAUUCACUAACUCGGGGAAGGCAAUGGAGAGGCGGAAGGCCCGUCUGCUGAAAAAGAGCAUCUAGCGCAGGUGCGUGCUGGUCUCGCCUUUGCACCCGCCGGGUCCUUGCUUAAGGGUCACAAUCCCACUGUCAAAGAUCCCUGGAGCCCCUCCCCGGCAAAUCCGAGUUUCCAGUUUCAGCACCAGAAGCUGGACAGCGCCCUGCACUCUGAGCGCGAGAAGUAUC
rnacentral:lncRNA from 1 species